rnacentral:rRNA from 1 species
AUUGAACGCUGGCGGCAGGCCUAACACAUGCAAGUCGAACGAGUGGCGGACGGGUGAGUAAUGUCUGGGAAACUGACCGAUGGAGGGGGAUAACUACUGGACACGGUAGCUAAUACCGCAUACCAUCGGAUGUGCCCAGAUGGGAUUAGCUAGUAGGUGGGUUAUUGGAUCACCUAGGAGACGAUACCUAGCUGGUCUGAGAGGAGGACAAGCAAACAUGGAACUGAUACAAGGUCCAGACUCCUACGGGAGGCAGCAGUGGGGAAUAUUGCACAAUGGGCGAAAGACUGAUGCAGCCAUGCCUCGUGGAUGAAGAAGGCCUUCGGGUUGUAAAGUACUUUAAGCGAGGAGGCGUUACUCGCAGAAGAAGCACCGGCUAACUCCGUGCCAGCAGCCGCGGUAAUUC